ensembl:lncRNA
CAAUGAUAACCCUGCUGUGUGUGCAACGCUUGCUUGCUUUGUUAUGCUCAACGCUAUUUUGCUGGGUCUGAUGAUUGUGGGUGCGGUAGCAGACGGAUAAUUGCAUUGACCACAGCGGACGGGAAUAGUAGACACCUGAUGCCCCUCACUAGUAAGUUACCCCCUAGUCUCUCAUCCGCCCUCGUGUGUUAGACAGGCCCCACAGAGUUAUAGCAUCACGGCCGCCAUUUUUUGAGUUCUCUCACUCAGUCCCAAGCCACACCUCCCCCUCCGCCAAAUUUGGGCUUUCCCUACCCAACUCCACCGCCCCCUACUGGACCACUCCAACCACUCCCUUCCCCAACUACACCGCCCCCUGCUGGACAUCAGAGGGAGAAGGUGUUUGGAGAAGGGAGAGGAAUGUAAAGAAAGAAAAAAGGGCGGAUGCGGACCGACCCAGAGUUUGUAAUUCCAGCAAGAGAAACACAAAGUUCCAGGGCCAGAGGAGGAGCCAGAUGCAGACACGCCCG